GGAGUUAAACAUGCUUGCAAGUGUUCAGAUAGAAAGUACUUGUGUGUAAUGAAAGUAAAAUUUGAGAACCUUCAAGUUUGUGAAAGAUAGUGAACUAUGUCUGAGUAGAGUAAAGCUAGAGGAAACUCUAGUAUGUAGAGGCUUGUAGUGAUUCUGACAUACAAAUCAAUUGUCAAACUUGAGUAUAAGAGGAAAAGACUAAUUAAACCAUCUAGUAGCUCAUAAUAGCAGAAACUUGUAUCAGAUUUAUGUAGAACAGACUGUCUCUUGACUGGACUGCUUAACAAUUGAGAGUUUCUAGUGGGCCAUUUUUGGUAAGCAGAACUGGCAAUACAGGAUGAACUGAACACAAGAUUAAUGUACUAGAAUGUAUGCUUAUCAGACACUACAAAAGGUGUUGGUUCUUCUAGACAGUAGGACAGUAGUCAUAGAAUUCAGAAUCCACUAAGAAGUGUGUAACAACUCACAUUUCAAAUGAACUAGCCCUAAAAAUGGAUGGUGCUCAAGUGUGCUAUCCAUACCUUGCCAUCUGUGUCGAAGUGACAUACAGACAAGCAGGCAGAUGUGGAGGUUGGUACACCGGGCCAUGACGUUCUCUGACAGUGC
rnacentral:ncRNA from 1 species